UAAAUCAACCUGAGCGUUGCCCAUUUCAUGUGUUGGGUCAUGUCAUGUGAGUAUGUGACCCUUAAACAAAGCCAUUUCCCUCGAUUUUGCUCGCCCAAUUUCCCAUCCUUCACUUACUUUACUUUGUUUCUCUCCUUCUGUUUUCGAUUCUCAAAAAAAAAAUCCAAUUCUCAAAUUAAUUGAUAAAAUCCUCUUAGCUUUCAAAUUGUCACCGAAAUCGAAGGCUUGGAAGCUCCACUGUUAACUCACUCAUUUUAGCAAAGUUGGUGUUUGGGUUUCUAGCAAUAAAGAUAGAAGUUCAAUAAUUUGUUGCAAAAUCGUGAAAUUAGUUUAGAGUUUUGCUAUGUAACCUAUGCAAGAGAAUGAAGGUGCAGAUUUUUUUUCCCAUGUUUAAUUAGUUAAAAAAGAGGUCAUACUGUUUUUCUGGGUUUGAAGAUAAAAAAGGAACUGGGAUUUCUGAGUUGUUGAUUACAUAUGACAUUGAACUCAUUGAUUGUGUUUGUGGGUUUGAGUUUUGAUAAUGUCAUGGGAAAAUGUAAAGUAUUUAGGGAUGCACAGAAGGUAUUUGAUGAAAUGUUUGGGAGAAAUGUUGUUUCUUGGACUUGUAUCCCGUGUAUGCUUGAUGGGUAUGUUUACUUUGAGGACUUAUUAGUGCAGAAAGGGAUUCGAUGCAAUGCUGAAGAGAAAUCAGGUUUCAUGGAAUGCCAUGAAAAUGAACCAGAAGACAGAGAUGAAGGAGGAAGAAGGGAAAAUCAAAAGAGAAAGGAAGGAAGCAAAUGACGGAGACAUAAAUAUAUGGGGAAGAAAGGGGAGAGCUUAAACUAUAAUUGGUGACGUGGUAUAACCGUCAUAAAUAUCCGACCGUUUAUGUUUUGGCGCUUAAAAACACAAUUCAACUCUUUCCCCUGUUACUCUUCUCUGAUCAAACCCAAACACUAAAACAUUCAAGAACAAAUUCUCUCUCCUCUCCCUGUAACUCAACUCUGAUUAAACCCAAACACUAAAAUCUUUCAAGAUUGUGAUCGCCAUGGAUAACCGGAAGGGCAAGAACGAAGUAGAUGAAUACGAUCAAGAACAGCAUAAUGAAGAUGAAUCUGGUAAAAGAAUCAAAGGGCCAGAUGAGCCCCUCCGACAGGUAAGUACAGACUUAGUACUGGCAGUUCCAUGUAGUCAAAUUCAACGAUCUCAGAGACUAAGUGAUGAAGGUUCUGGAAGGAAGAGAACGAGGGAAACUGGUUCAAGUAGCCAGAGUCAAUUUCAUCAUCAGUUGGAAUCUGGUUCAGAUAUUUUCAGUUUGUUCCCCGCCUACCUAAUUGCUCAUGCUUAUGGUAUUGAGGAAAAUGUGUAUAGGUCAACAAGCCACUCAACCUGUAGACAACCUCACUCCGCCAGCAUGGUUGUGGGGUGACUAUAAUCAGUCGUUGGAGUCUAUUAUCAGAAACGCAAGGAACACUGCUUUAAGUGGCCAACGUCCGAAACCAAGUGAGAAUUCAUCCUUAUGGCUAAAUCCAUCGAUCUUUUCUCCCAUUCGAAAACUUUGAUUUAAUACAGACCUAAACAAGCCAAUUACAGAAUCAGGCAAAACACAAGAUCAAAGGACCAUGCUAAUACAGAUACUUCCCCAACUCAGUGAUCUUAUUGUAGCAGAUUAACUUUUUCAAUUUUGUAGCUCAACUUGCUGUUUUCUCUAGCUGAUUUCUAUAAGAAUCAUGCAGUGCAUGAUCUUCCUGAAUUUACUCUGCUAUCAAGCAGCUAUUAUUUGAAUUGUUUUUGUACAGAAUAAGGAACUUUAAUUCGUGAUUUGGAAAUGUGGGUGAUACUCACUUAGCAAUCUACACCUUUACAUCA